ACAUACACACACACACUCACUCACACACACACAAACACACACACCUACUGACACACACAGACUUUUACAACUUUAUAACAUUUAUUGUGUUUAUAUUUCAGAGUUGAGGCAGUCAGGAGAGUUAAGGACAGUAGACGAUGUUCGAGGCGGUUAAACGAGUUGAGGCAGUCAGGAGGAAGCAGCAAUGGCAGCGACGGCAGCAACCAUGCUGGUGCCUAUCCUGCUUCCUCGACACAGGGCACCCACCCGUACAGACAGGACGGGGUCUCAGCUUUCCUCGGCCCGACCGUGGCUUCAAGCAACUCGGAACAGAACCAACGCUCCUCUGACACGCCUCCGAGCUCCCAAUAACGCCGAUCAAUGGACUAAGAAAUUCUCACAUUCAGGACUUCACUUCACUUCUCCCCUCCCCACCACUCCUGUGCA